UAGAGGCCAGUGAAAGGCAACACAUAGGACCACCUAUAUCUAAUGUGUCAAAAAAACUUUACCUUUGAGUGAAAAGGCUCAACUAACGAAAAAAGACGAAAAGACCCCGCGGAGCUUUACUCAAAAGCCACAGAUCAUAUAAAAUCAACACCAAGAGUUUGGUUGGGGCAACCUUGGAACAAACAAUCUUCCAAUCACCUCUCUGCAAGACAUACAAAACCUCUUACGGACUAAAAAGAAGCUACCCCGGGGAUAACAGCGUGAUCCAACUUAAA
rnacentral:rRNA from 1 species